AAAGAACCAAGGCAUGAGAUGCCUAGUAACAGCUUGAAGUACAUUGGUAAAUUCUGAUCUUGUCUACCUCUUCAUAAGACCAACAGUAAAAUUGAGGCUCCAGAGGCUGUGGGAUUUGCUCAGGGCCACACCGCCAGAUGUAGAUCCAGCCAUCCUGACUCAGAACCAGCCAGAGAGGCCUGACAUUGAAUGUCAGACACUGCCAGGGAGAAGUGAGUGAUCUCAGCUCCCGAUGACCCCAUUUUACAGACGUGGAAAUUGAGACUGCAUGACUCACCCAAAGCCUCUGGAUUAGUAAGAUACUUAGCUGAGAUCUCAACAUGGAGCUGCCAGACCCCA